rnacentral:ncRNA from 12 species
CACCGAGGAGCGUUGCAACGGGACAAGGUCCCGCCAGGCUCGGUGAGGGCUCCAUAAGUUUCAACGGCGCUUACUCUGA